AGGAUGGGAGGAAGCUUACUCUGAGAUGCUUGCAGUCAGAAAAUACCCAAAUAUAUCUUGAGAGAGGCUGAGGAGGAAAAGAAACAAACAAACAAACAAACAAAAAGGGCAGGAAAGAGGAAAAAUGAUUAACUAGCAGCAGUAAGGAGGAGGCUGGGUGGUUUCAGGCAGCAGUUUUACAUGUUAUUAUUAUUAUUAUUAUUUUAUUUAUUUAUUUGCAGAUCCCUGAGUAGCUAAUUUUCACCUUGUGCCAGUCAGGUGGGAGCCUCCUGAGCAGCAGCAACCCAGCAGCCUGCAGGGCCCAGGUGAUACCUGCUGCAGGCUAAGGGUCUUGUGGAGGCUUCUGGACUCAUCCUGUCCCGUGCUGGGGACCUGUAGGGAUGAGUACACAAAGGUGACGGAGCCAGCAGGCUGAGGGAUGAAUGCUUGUGUCUGGAAAUGGCAGCAGAAGGGGAGAGCAGGGGGAGCAGGAGAAUGAUUUCUGUGAUGCUUUUCCUCAAAUAUCACAGAUUGUAAGCCAUCCCACAUAUGUGCCAUGAAGUCCUAAUAAAUAUAUAUCAGACUUAAAAAGCUCCCACAGAUGUCACUAUUUCAAUGCAACCUACUUAUUCUUCAGAAGUAGAAAAUGAGAAACAUCUCCAGUCUGAAACACCUACCCAUCAAGAGAUUUCCAAUUGCUUGUUCUAUUUUCGAGAGGGUUGCCAAAUGGAGAAGCCCCACUUUAGGAGCAGGGCUUCACACCUGAACAAAGUACUGGACAUCCCAGAAGGGCAAAUAUUGAAGCUUUCAAGGACUGGUAAUUUGAACUAAGAGCAUCUCAACACAUAUACAUACAUUGCAGGAGACAUGCAUGGGGAAAGCAAAGCUUUUUUUUCUUUGGCUUUACAUAUUUUCACAACCUACUUUAAAAUAACUGAAUGGCAGUGUAACAUCUGCUCUGGUAAGCAUUCCUGCGUUAUUUUCAGGUUAAGGCAUACACUGUGGAUUCAAACAAGCAGCAAUGGCGCACUGAGGUCAGCUUAAGCUUGAGGUUUUUUUCAACAGCAAUGUUGUGUGCUGUGAGCCAGACUAAGUGUGCAGCGCUGAGGACAAAUGAGUAGUAGCAAAUUCCUCAGGUAAUACCGUGACCUGUGCAGUUGAGGUGCUCAGUUCUUCACCAGACCCCAUCUCAUCCAUUGGCUCAUGAUGGCAACGUCUGCCCCAAAGGAAGCUCUCUCCUUUUGUCCUACAGCUGGGCUUGCUGGCAAAGACCUGCAGCGUCUCAGUGCCGAGAAAUCAGCUCUGGCAGUUGCACAGCAGCCGUUCCUCUCUUGAGGCCGUGCAUGGGACGUAAGCCACGCUUGGCAGGAGGGGGUUUCCCUUGCUGUAGGUAAGAUACUAGGCAAGGCUCAGGCUACAGAGAAUGCCAUGCUCUGAGCACCGACAGCUUUGCAUGGUGACGGUGAGAGCUGUGUGUCUAAUUUGGGCAGCAGCAGAUGGGUCUCUUAAGACAGCAAGAGACUGGCACUACCAGCAGAGUGCAGGGAUAACGUGUUCCUUCUGCAGCAGAGAUUUCACAAGUGACUCAUGACUCUUCUGCAGCUCACGCUGGCAUCACUUGGUCUCUGUAACCGUGACUGCACAUUUUAAAGGUCAGGAUGUAAAGCUUCUUCACCUGCUUCUUCUACACACCUCUGAGUCCGUAUUUAUUCUGAAGGAUGUUUGGUGUACACGGUAGCUCCUUACAGUCUGAGCAGGAUUUUGUUCUUCUCCUGCUGGCAUAAAUGUAGAGAUGAUGAAAUAAUCUAGCCAAUAAAUCUCUCAGGAGAGCUUGAUUCCUGGGUGCUCGUUGCAUACACAAUUAUCAUGUACAUGACUAACUCCAGGCAGGCCUGGUGCUUGGGCUCUGGCGUGUCGGAGCCACACCUACAUUCCUCCUGCAGGCCCUCAUUUAAAAACAGAUUUCAAUUAACUUUAAUCAGAUGUUUAAGGUGGCCUAGGUCUUUUCUUCUGUGUGUAGGUGUUUAACUUCCACUGCCCUACACUUAAGGAUGUACUUCACUGCUACCUAGAAGAGGGGCUGAUUUGGGCAUGUGCUUGAAUGGCCUUGUGCCCAGUGGUCUAACUUAAGUAGGACUUCCCAAGACAGCAAAACCCCGGUGUUGGCAGAACUGUGCACACAGAUUGCCUGUAUGCACACGUUCAUUGGCUCGUUGUGAAAGCCCACAGCAAUGGUUCACCUGAAAUUCCCUGCAGUCACUGGCCUCUCUGCAAUAUCUGAAAGCCCAAAGCUGAAUGCUUUUGGAAAUCCCAUCACUUUGUUCUCCCCAGAG